UCAUAAGCUUGGCGGAAAUGGCUGCUGCCUCCUUGGCUUUGGACGUGGCCACGUCGAUGGAUGCGGCGGUCAGGGACCCGACCGACGCUGAGGGAGCAAGGGAAUUGCAGAGAUCGGGGUACGAUGCUUUUUUGCAUUCGGAGGUGGCGUCGAAGAGGGAGCGGUCAUUGACGCGGCGGAGGACGCGAGCUUCUGUUAUGGUGGCCCCGAGAAGGAGGAGCAGAGCGGCAGGCAGGAUGAGUGGGAGAGAGGCGGUUUGGUGCUGUCGCCCCAUGGUGGCUCUCUUGGAGGGUUUGGAAACUGAGGAGAGCCAAAGAGCAGUGGAAGAGAAGAGGGAGGCGGAGGUUGGACAUAGAUUUGCAAGUGUUUAUAUAGGUGUGCGGAGAUGGAUGUGGCCAAAUGUACGUGAAGGAGAGAGGAGGAGGAGGGAAGAAGGAUCCGUUCUCCUGGUUUAUCUCCCAAACAUACGUGGGUGUAGGGCUGACCAUAAAUGUCGCUGUGGGUCCGACUUGGUCAGAGCUAAAAAAAAAAAUCAUAAGUAUUUUGUUUAUCCUCCCUAACGACUCACUCGUUGCUAUUUAAAUACCAGGAAGGAGGACUCCUGUCAUAAUAAAAUAGUUUUUUUUAUUUUUUUUAAUACUAUUUUUCUUUUUUCUCAUCUUAAUCUUCGACUCGUAUACAUUCUAACUCUUACGAACAGAGGAGGAUACAUUCAUAGUAUUAUAUCCCAUCUACUUUGUAGGUUUUUGAAUUUAGAGCACUUGGCUCAUAGCAUACCUCCACAUCAUCUACCUCAACUAUUCCAAGAGCGUACGUACAAGAAAGGGUCCAUAUUGGCUCCAAGAAGUCAAUCGGUUAUCAUAUGAGAUCCUAAACUUGCGAUAAUAAAAUGAUAAAUUAAUCAUGCUCUAAUCUCUUACGAGGUGGAUAUCCGAUAUCACAUGAAAGAAAAUUCAGAUUAAGCAUGCGCAUAUUUAGCUCGACAUCCUUAUAAGAAGAUGGUGUAUGAUGCAAAUACUAAUAAAUCUUUAGAGAUGAAUAAAAAAAAAAAUCCCAUCCGUAUAUACCCAAAAGAAAAACGCUAAGUUGCACAACAAUAAUGACUAUAAAAAUAAAUAAAUCUGCACAGGCGAAUUAUUUCAAUGAAUCACAAACAAACAAAGGCCUAAUGUGCAGGUAAUUAAUUCUAGACCACUAGAAUCUCAACCAUGUAUUCACAAACCCGAACACCAAGAGUCCGACAAUACAAAAAAUUCCCAAGAAUGUUUGCAUCGAAAAAAAUCAACACGGGAAAAGCCUGAAUAGUUCGGGAAACUCACUUAUUAGCCAACAUAGAACAAAAAAGGCAUGACCUAAGAACGCAAGCUUAAUGAGCAGCACAUAGUCAGAUCAAACCAAACUUUAGGUGUUUUUGCCAUCUUCAUCUAGUGGUAUUUGACUCUUCUAGAACUACUUUUCUAGUGACCCCCUUGUAUAUAUACGUACAUGCAUUAAGACGAUCCAGCUCCUCCCGAUGCUCAUUCAGCACUGCUCGAACGACAUCACCAAUGGAGACCAUGCCAAUCAUACCUUUGUCAUCAACCACAGGGAUAUGCCUAAUGCGGUCGUCUACAGAUAAAAAAAGUCAUAACAACAGUGUUAUCAGUCAAUCUAUCUACGCGAGCAACUAAUUGUACUUACAGAACAAACCUGUCAUAAGCUGCAUGGCCCGCAGAACCUUGGUAUCUGGUGUCACAGUGAUCAAUUUAUUCUGGUCAUAAGAAACCAACGAUACUUUGUCAUAAGGCAGAAUGCAAAUGAAGGAUAAAAUCUUAGUCCAUGUCACCAUUGAACGACAGGUUUGGUACUGUACUGGUAUCAUAUGAUGAAGCAAGUAUCGAUAUGGUACAGUAAAAUCGAUACAGACCAUUAUUAGAACGGAGGGAGAGAGAGAGAGACUAGCUGGAGAUAGUGAGUACAAAAUAACGCAGGAAUGUAUCGGAGGAAAGGCAGCGGUAGGCCGUGACGUGAUAAAGAGAAUGGGUUAGAUUACACGAUUUAUCUAAUUAGAUAAAAUAUAUUAUAAAUAUGAUUUAUUUUGAUCAUGAUUAUUAAUUAAUAAAAAAAAUUAAUUAUAGUAUAAUUCUUUAUAAUAUAUUUUGAUAUGAAACUUCCUUAAUUAUUUAUAUUAGACUAUUUUCUCUCGUCUAUAAAAUGACAUGAUCUUUUAAAGACUCGACGUGAAUUCACAGAUAAUUAAAUACAUGAUAUGUAAAUAAAUAAAUAAAGAUGGAGAUAUAUGAUAUUAUUGGGAGAUUACAUACAUUUUCUCAUAUCACAUUAAUCACGUGAACUAGUUAAUGAGAUAUUACAUAUCUUUUCUCAUCUUCCUUUUAUUCUUAAUCAAUCGCUUAUAACAGUCAUGUGAAGGAUAAGAAAAGAUGAAAAUAUGAGUUUAGUUCUCCUUGCAUACUGGCAUCGUUGUAACUUUUGAAUUCGACAAUGGUGCACCUGCAUAUCACAUAAAAUUUUUUUGAAUGAUAUCUAAAGGUACGCUUCAUAAAUUUGAUCUAUUAUUAUUUGAUUUUAUUUUUUUAUAUUAUAGUUUUUUGCAUAACAAUAACAUAAAAUUAGUUUUUUAUGUUUAUAAUUGGUAUCAAAACCAAAUUUAUGAAAUCAAAUACUUUAGAUAUAUUUGUUAGCACAUUUCACUAUGUUGUUCGAUUUUGAUUUGCAAUGCUUAAACGAUUCAUGUGUAUUACUAAUCUACUUUUAUAUUUAGUUUAACAUAUCGUCUGUGGGUGAUAUAAGAUUCUUUGUGUUUGAUCGAUGGACUAUUGUCGAUAAUUUACUAUUAGCAAUAGUAUUAUUAAGGGUGAUGGUCUUCGAUGGUCGCCAGCCCAAUCAUGGGCAACAAUUGCAUAUGCAGCGAAAGCUUUGUAGAUUACGACAACCUUAUGGCAGAUGCAAUUUGUCUUAUGGCUACGGUGGCUAUGCAACACUACUGCUUGCGAUGGCUUUGGCUAUUGUCACUACAUACGGUGGCUAUAGUAACGUCGCUGCGUGUAAUAACUACAGUAAUGCCAUUGCCUAUGUGGCUACAACGAUUGUUGUUGCUUGAGGCAACUGUAGCAGCAUCGUCACUACUUGUAGUAGUUGUAGCAAUGUUGAUGUGACAACAUAUGUUGCCACACUCGGUGUCACUAAAAGCCAAAGACCAAUGACGUCAUCGGGCAAUGUGUGUGUACACAAUCACGUUGCGACGACUAUGGGGGUCACCUUGAGUCGCACAUGCGUGGUAACAAUUGUUUGAGGCGGGGUGACGACCCACAAGCGAUGAUCACUCAUGACAGUGAUUGUGCGAAGGGAGUAGAAUUAGGGGUGUUUUUUUAAUAAAAGAAUAUUUUUACCCUACAUAAUUAGAAAAAAAAUUAGCUUGUGUCCUUUUGACAAUUUUGAUCUUCACAAAUUAGAUAUAUUUUUACAUAUCAUAACAAAAUUAUAUUUUUACCCUUGAAAAAUUAAAAUUUUCUAACUUGUCUUCAAUGAUAAAAUUGAUUAAUUUGAUUUAUUUUAAUCAAAUAUUUUGAUCGGACUUUAUCAUUAUUGUAUUUUGACUACUUGACUAUAUUUAGGUUUGAUCAAUUAAGUUUUGAUCGAUUUCCACAAAAAGUCAAAAUUUGAUUUUAAUCAACAUUAAUCUUAAUGAGCCUAACUGGGUAAAUGUUCAACUCAAAUCUAUGAGCCUAAUUUGGGUAACUUAAUUUUGGGUCUAGUCAAUUAAAUAUGGUUGAUUAAUAUAAGAGUUCGAUACGAAAUUUUAAAAUAUAGAUAAAUCAUGAUUUUCUUUGAUAGUUUUCUUAUAUGACAUCGAUAAAAUUUUAUAUGUGAUAAAUAAAAAAAUAAUUAUUAUUCUUGAAUAUUUGUUUGAUUAUUCACAUGCAUAUGUUUAAAAUUAUAAAAUGAUAUUUAUUUUUCACAUAAAAACAUAAUUUUUGUUUUUUUUCAUUAUUAUAGUUUUCAUGUGUUUUUCUGAUUAAUAUUUAAUUAUUAUUAUUAUUUAAAUAUUUUAAUAUAAGUUAAAUAAGAAAUUAGGUGAAUAUUCUUUGUAACUCAUAUUUCUAAAUUUUAUCUGAUUGGUAACUAAAGAUAUAUUUAUAAGGUAUGAAUUAUAAUAAAAUAUUAUAAUUUAUAUAAAAUAUAAUAUUUUAAAUUAUAUUAGAUAUUGUUGUAUGGGUCGGUGGCCUAGGGUUAGGUCUUAUAGAUAGGCGACUGAGUCUCUCGAACUCGUAGGCGACGCCGAGGAUGGGUACGAUGGAUUUGACGGAGGAGGGGACGAGCUCGCAGUCGGGCGGGGCAGGCGCAUCCUCCUCCUGCUGCACGUCCAGCAUCGUCGGCAUCCGCGUCAUCUUCCUAGAGGGUGCUUUCCGGAGCUUCAGCCCACCGGCGCCCUCCCCUCCUCCGUGGUUGCUGCCGCUCGCCAUCAAGCCCUGCCUCCCUUCUUUUCCUUCCUCGCUUCUCUUCUUCUCGUCCCAAGCAAAUCUUUAAGGGUUUUUUUUGUGGCAGAAUAGUGUCUUUAGCUUUUCCUUUCUGCGCUCCACCAGCUGUACUGUUCUUUUCCGGGUUUCGAUUUGGCGAUGGGGGGAUCGAAGGAAGGAAUGUGGUACAGGAAAGGAAGAGACGGAGAGAAAAAUAAAAACGAAGGUGGAUGCGAUUGUGAGCGGGAGUCAGGCAAGGACGUAAUUAAUUGGCCAAGCGGACUGGGUUUCGUGUUUCGGACGGCAAGGAUCGAGUCGAUGCUCCGCUUGCCGCCCAGGGCUACCGUAGGAUAUUCGAAAAAGCCAAAACUUAUAGUCAUUUCGUGGAAGACAUGCAUGCAGUGCAUGCGAACGUGGAGUAGCAGUAAGCAAACCAAAUGAAUAAAAAGACGAGGAGAAGGUGGUCUAUAACCGAGACAUGAAUCUUAAACCUCACAGCUUCACAGAUCAUUUUAAAUCAUUUAAUCCAAAUAAAAACAUCCUCCACCUUCACUUCUAUGGUCAAUAUAUUAUCUCGCCAGUUGCUCUUUACGUGGAUGUCUCUCCUCAGUUCUUCAAAGUAGAAGCCAGGUCCAGGCUAUUGCUAACCAGUUUCGAAAGGUGGUCGUUGAUAUCGGCAACAGGUGACACCAAACCCGGCCAAUCCUGGAACGCAUCAGCGCAGUUGGCCUUGAGGCUCAUCGCGGCGGAGAGGUUCACCAUGAGGUCAGUGUGCGCUGCAUCCUUGAGGUUCUUGGCUGACAACUGGAGACUGUCAGCUACGGAGCUGAAGGCAUCACGGCAAACACACAGGGUGGACUUCAUCAGCUUCUCGGUGCCAGGGGCUUUCAUAAGCUUGGCGGAAAUGGCUGCUGCCUCCUUGGCUUUGGACGUGGCCACGUCGAUGGAUGCGGCGGUCAGGGACCCGACCGACGCUGAGGGAGCAAGGGAAUUGCAGAGAUCGGGGUACGAUGCUUUUUUGCAUUCGGAGGUGGCGUCGAAGAGGGAGCGGUCAUUGACGCGGCGGAGGACGCGAGCUUCUGUUAUGGUGGCCCCGAGGAGGAGGAGCAGGGCGGCAGGCAGGAUGAGUGAGAGAGAGGCGGUUUGGUGCUGUCGACCCAUGGUGGCUCUCUUGGAGGGUUUGGAAACUGAGGAGAGCCAAAGAGCAGUGGCAGAGAAGAGGGAGGCGGAGGUUGGAGAUAGAUUUGCAAGUGUUUAUAUAGGAGGAGCUUGGAUAGGUGUGCGGAGAUGGAUGUGGCCAAAUGUACGUGCAGGAGAGAGGAGGAGGAG
rnacentral:lncRNA from 1 species